UCUAUUUUCCUGCCAUGCACCUGGAUUUGCAGUCCUUAUCAGACAGAGGGAAGCAGCAGAGUAAGGCAGAUUGAGUAGUUUGCAUGCAAUUAGCAUAAAGAAACAGGCAAUGCUUUAAGUGUCAGCAGGUUGUGUUUGCUGGAGCAAAACCCAGCUCUCAUGAACUACUGUCACGACACCUAGAAAAGAACACAUGCAACUUAAAAGCUGAAUGUUGCACAAAAAGCCAGUGUUGGCUGUGAGGAGGAUCUGGGAAAGAAAGCUCACUAGAAGGUUAAGCUGUUAUCUGCCAGCAUAACCAGUGCCUUGUGCUCUAAAUGAUUAUUGCUGUGCAUAUAGAGCAUGGCUGGGGAGUCCUGGCCACAGCAUCAAGCUGAUGGAUGCUGCUGCCUCAGAGCUAUUGGACCAUGACGAGCUGGACUCGAUGAUCCUUGUGGUUCCCUUCCAACUCAGAAUAUUCUGAUUUUAUAUUAGUGUUGUCUCUACUGCCAAAGGCAAUGUGAAGAUACGGUGGAUCUGGCAUGCUUUCCCUGCAGGACAGGGGCAUCCAAAAAGCCCACCUGCAGGUUAGACCCAUGCCUGUACCUUGCCAGACACCUUAAUUGAUGGUGAAGAACCAGAGGUGAAGUUUGCUGAACAGGAAGCGUCGGAGAAGAGGGAAGGUUAGCUGCAAAGAUAAUCAUCUGGGAGAUGAGUCCCGAGUUUUGCUUUGUUUACAUAUGAAACUCUCAUCAAAAUGUGUCUUUUUCUGCUGCUGCUUCUGCUGUAUUUCAGACUUUUUUGUCUUUUUGGAAGCAGUGUGUGUCAUCUCCCAACUGUGCUGCUUAUGUUCUCCUCAACCUGCAUACCAGCUGCUUGGUAGCACACCGCAGGCUACCAAUAAGCAAAACUGGAAGCUGAUGAGACGAGAGCAUCUUUGAAGAUUCGGGUGCAGUGUUCCCCUUGGGAUGACUUGCCAUGCCAGAUUAAAAGCUCUCUGUGUAUCCAGACAGGGACACUUCAAGCAACCGAAAUACUAGAUGAGUAGGAUCACCUCGUGAUGCAGGAACAUCAAGGUUGCUUAGCUUCUAGAGCCAGAUGAACAGCACAGGCAGAAUAAUUUGAUUCAUACACCCUCUCAAAGCAUCAUUCCUUCCUUAAUCAUCCGGAUUUUCAUUUAAAUGCUGUCUGAUUUGCUCAGCUGCACAUAUCAUCUGUAAGGUCACCCAUUUGUCUCACAUAUGCAACUGAAAGUCCCUUUCUGACCUUCCUCUCCCCAGUUCUCCCUCUAUUCCCUAGGUAAACAAGUGGAGCCCAGAUCUGGUGGUGUCAGAUGCAAGUUAGAUUUGAUCUCAGCUGGAUAUCUCACUGUGCUCAGUCACACUGACCUGUUGCAGAUUGGUGUUUAUUAUAUUCAUUCAUGCUUUGGAAAGUAAGUAAAUAAAGAAACUAUUCCCCCUGGAAUGUAACUCAACCUCCCAAAACAAUUAUGGAUUAAUUAUAAACUGAUUCUGCAUGUAGGACAAUUGAAUGUUUAGUAAAAGGACAAUUACCACCCUAGAAAUUACCACUCUGCAUUUCUUUAUUAGCACCACAAGCAAGAUAUCAGACAUGGUGAAGACAUGCUGCUCUGCCAAAGACUGAGAAAUACACUGGGCUGUGGAAAGCUUGUGCAAGGCUGAACCUCCGGGAUGCAGAACUGGCACCAGGACUCCAACACAACCUCGCCACGACGGCACUGGGAUUGGAUCUGUUUCAUGAAAACAGGAUGAUCUUAAUACAAAGUUAUGCUGUGAUGAUUGCAGUUGUUGACAGUAAGACAGAUAACCUUCAUCAAGACACCGUGGCUUUGGGGAGAGCACUGGUGAAACCAUCUGCCUGCAGGAAGACGGUUGGCUGCCCAGUGUGGAUGGAGUGUGCUGGUGAGUAGGAGCUGCAGGAGCUCCCGGAGCAGCCUGCAGAAGCCAGCAUUAGCAGGAGCUCCAUCUGCAAUGGCUUAAUCCUGAGCUGCUGGAUCAGAAGCACUCCUGGUUAGAAUUUGGGGGCUUAAUGUGGCUGUGAGGCUGAAAUGGUGAUGUGUUUAGCAACGCCCAUCUAACCCAGGAAUGCUGAAGAAGAGUGGAGACCACACAAAACCCAACCUGACUCAAAGCACUACAGGACUCUGGAAGAUAAUCUACAUGAGGAACAUUCAGCUGGUGGCUGUUGACAACUGGUGAAGCAGAGGCUGAUGUUCAGAAGCACCCCACGCUGUUGACAAAAUUGAAAGAGACCACAGCCUCCAUAAACAACAAACACAAACUUGUUGGUGUGUUUCACUAUGUAAAACUGUCCCAAGCAAAUUUUGGGUGAGUUUUUUGAAAGAAGCAGCAACACCAAGCGACAGACCCAAGGCAGACCUUCCACCUCAGUGCUGGGAAUGAUUGUGGGCAGGGAGCGAUGCAUCACUGCCACCUGCAAGGCCUCUACAUCGAUGGUCAGGAGAGGGCCUCCUUCUCCAGAGGUGAUAAGCAGGCACCUUCACAAACACUGCCAUGAAACAGAGCUCUUGAGGAACUGGGCAGAUACUGGAAUAUAACCGUUCUCUUCAGUUUGAUUUUAUGUGUGUUGCUCAGUGGUUUUGUCAAGGAAUUUUUGCUCCACUCAAACUUUGUUAUAAAAUACUUAAAUGUUGUAUUAUCUACGUGAAAGCUGUAGAUUAUUUAAAAUAUGAUGAUUCAUACAAUUUGGGCACUACUGCUGAUGUUGCUUGUUGAGAAUUUUCUGCAUUUUUUACUUCAUUUUUUCAGUGCUUCAUUCCAUGCUUUUUGAUACUAAACAGCCCAGGAAGAUGAAUGGGGUAGUUCAUAUUUGCACAAAGACAGAAUUUCAGGUUAUUUGCAAAGUUAGGCAGAGACAAAGUCUAUUACACAUUACAGACAGCGUAGCAGGCACUGAAGGCCACACAUUUCCCCCCUCUUCCCAGUGAAUGACUGUCUAGCUUAUAUACAACAAGGAGCUGUAGAGCAGUAUGAUGGAGCAUAAAUUUGCGCUCCAGACCUGGGCACAUGCACACAUCAGCUGGUAUAUGUACAAACCAGCUUUCUCACUGCCUUCCUAAAGAUACCAUGGAGCAGACUGGCUCAGGAGCCCCUUAAAAAUGAGAGCUAGUUCUCAGCGCGUGAUGAACAGUGGAUCCCAGCUCAGGUCUCCCUCCAAGAGAGCUCCAAAUCAACACAAGCACAGCCUCUGGUGCAAGAUAUUGCUCCUGAGCUGAACUGGCUUUCAUUAAAUGAGCUGUCUCACAGCCUCUGUUGACUUGGGAAUUCAAAGAGUGAUGAAAGCUGGAAACAGCUGCAGCUCCCAGAAGUAAGAUCUUGUUAUGAUGAGAAAUAGAGACUUUUUGGUGAGAACAGUGAGCCAGGAAACCUUCCUGCAAAAUCCAGCUAGCAAAAUCCACAUGUGCAUGUGUCUCUGUUAAAAAUCAUCUGCCAUCUGCGUGGGCCGAUGAUGAGAUUACAAGCAGGGUCAGCAGAUCAGGGCUGCUUCAAACCGCCACAAAACAGAGCAGGAGACCAAUUACCCCAAGGGCUCAUCCACAGCCAGGUGUCCUGUUACACAGAGGCCAUAUUCGUGAGCUUUUCCCACUAUUUUUUAGGCUAGAAAAUAUCUUAAGAGACUUACGCUGAGCCCCUGAAGGACAAUUUUUGCAGCUAAGGGUAAAUGCAGCAGGUGCUGAAUUUGCUCACUGAAAUGCAUGGUAAAGUCAUAUAUAAAUAAAUUGCCUGUUCAGACAUGUAUAUUCUGGAAUAUUAUUUGGACAAAAUCUCACAAUCUUGCCCUUUGUCAGGCACCACCUGGUUCUUUUACACUUCCCACCAAAAAUAAAAUAAUGACCUGACAGUGGGGAGCAAAACACAAUUAGUUUGCUGCUGCCUUAGAGAAGGACAAUCAUUCCACAAGGUGCAUCUGUUUAAUGUAUCAGGGCUGAAGAACUCACGUGGCAUGGGAUGGAGACAUCUACCCACACCAAGCAGUGUUUUCAUACAGAUCUGUGCUUUAGUCCCACUGGUGCCAACAAGGUAGAAUUAUAUAUUUAGAAUUUAUUGCUGCAGAAGAGACAUUUUGCUGAGGACCAAAUUUAGUUAUAUGUAUGUAAAUAUAUAUAUCCUGAAAUGCAUACUGGGCAAUCCCAAAAUGGCUCGGUUUUCAAUCUAACCAGUAGCUAGCAGCACCUCUUUCCAGAGCUCUGAAGGAUUAUGGCACAUAAUAUGAUAACAAUAGCAGAACUUUUUCAGCUGAUAUAGAUGACUUUGCAGCAGGCAUCAGCAGUAGCAUUUACUUUCACCACAGAUGAAAGCAGCUUAAUAAACUGCGUCUGCGUCAGUGCAGCAUGAUCCAUGUGUACGGCAUUAGGGAACAACAGACAGCACAGGAAUUGAUGACUCAGGCAGCAGAAUUAUGGUUAUGCUAAAGGAGCAGGACUACAUUCUUCAAGUAGAGGUCAUAUCUCCCCAAUUAUUUAUAAGUUUCAGUUAAAUUAGCUGAUUGUUAAAACGUCACUUCUUGGGCUUAUGAUCUGUUUAUAUAAUUAUCAAGCUGCAUUACAGCUUGUCCUGUUCUCCUCCUCAAUUACAUAGCCAAUAUUCUUGCUAGAAAUGUCAAAGCAGAAGUAUAGACAUAUCAAUCAAAAAUUAAUACAAUCAGAUAAAGAGUAUUGUGUUGAGCCCAAAAUUAUCAAUACCUUGCUUGCGUUUUCUGGCAGGAGGAAAAACAUGAAGGAUGUGAAAAGCAACUAAAGCUGCUCAGAUUUUUACAAGGAUAAAUUGAAAAUAUAGGAGACUUUUAGCUAAGAGAAGGGGCACAGAAGGGGCGGUGAGAGCUUCCUGUACACCAGUAAUCAGAAAAGGCAGAUGUAAUAUUUGUAUUUAUGCUGACUGGGAAUUCAAGAACAUCUAGACCUCCAAAACAGUAAGAUACGUGUAGAGAGAGGCUGUGGAAAUAAAACUAAGUUGGCACUGGGUCCAGAACAGAACAGGAGAGGGACAGAGUGGUGGCCACAACUACAGCCUGUGCUGUUCUUGUAGAAGAGGAAUUUAAUAGUGCUAGAGCUAAGCAAGAGCUAAACUUCUCAGCAGCAAAAUAAAAACCCAAAUACAUCACAUUAAAAAAAAAAACAACACAGAUUGUUAAACUAAACAGCAUUAAAUUGAACAAUAAACUCCUUUAUUUCAGGGCAAAAGUCAAUCACUGAAUAAAGCUAACAGCUGUCCCCUAGGGAAUUUCCUAUACUCUCAUCUGCACCGUCUAGUAUAUUGGACAUUCUCAGUAAGAUAGUAUCAGAUUGGAAAUACCCUGCUCUGGAUAUUAGCUAUGCCAAUUUGGAUGAGCUGCUAUGUUCCUACUAUAUUAGAGUUCUUCCCUCAUUAAAGAAAAAUGAACUAAGAACGAUCAGCUUCCAAUCAUGUAGUUUUCAAAGUGACAUUAAAACUAAUGAAUAGAGCAAUGGAAAAAAAAUACCAGGAUGAAUGUAGUAAGCUUAAGGGUUUGAGGGCAGUAAAUCAAACAUGGCUUGACUCUUCAUUCAAUACAAUGUGGUUGUUAAUGAGGAACAAUCAAUAAAUGUUCCUCAAAUAAAACACCAGAGAGCCACACAUGAGAUAAGCAAACAGGAGAAUUUGCCAAGAGGGGAUGCACCUUUCUUUGUUAUUACAGCAAUUGCUAAUGCCUUGGUUUAGACUCAAGGGACUCAUAUAAACACCGCUUCCUCAUUGUGUUGCAUAUACUUAUUUGAAAAUUCUGUCGUAGGAAUUCCUAGCUAAAGGAUAUCCAAAAUAAUCCCAACAUCAAUGUUUCAGUGAAAACAAGGAUCGGGGUGGAUUUUCUGUGUAAGUAAAUGCUCAAAAGUCAAAUCAAUUAGUUGUCUAUCACGUAAUUGUAGAGAACUAUAGACAUUUCAAAUGUUUCCAAUAAAUACUUUCCCUGAAAGACUCCUUUCCUAUUCCACAUGGAAAUUCUGAGGUUACGUGGCCCACACCAUCCUUCAGUUCUUUUGUGAACUUCAAAUAUUGAGUACUCUAUAUUUUGAGAACAAUGCAAGCUUGCAAAUCCCCCGACUCAGAAGUAAGCUGCCUGUCUUUAAAAUAUGUAAGAAUUAUAUAUAGAUUUUUAGAUAGAUAGAAUCCUUUUCUAUGCUUUUGGAUUCUGGGACAUUUAAGUGAAAGCCUACAGAUAAAUCUCCAGCUAAAAAUUAAAUGACAUUACCAGCUGUCCACAGCAGGGACAGUCUGUAGCUUGUUUAUUAUCUCAUCUGGUCUCCCAGCUAAGUAUGGUUUAGUCUGGUGAAUUCCAAGAUGACAGACCUUUUAAAAAUUGUAGGUUCUGGGUACUGCUGACAGCUGUAUUUGUUUCUUGUUGGGUGGCACACAUCCCACCUCUGUCAGUACAGGGCAUGAUUUUGGAUGAUGCUAGGGACGCUACUUUUUUCAGAUGAAAUAUAAGACAGGAGUAUAAGUAAUGUUUGCAAGGGUGAGUCAGGGAUUUUAAGUGAAUUGCCAUCACUGGUAAUAACUAACAAUAUACUUUUCUUGUAGUUCAGAAUUUUUCCUGUUCUAUUUCCUAGCACCCUAAGUCCCUCCAGAUGAAGUAACGACAGGUAACUAAAUAUUUGGAGCCACUGCAUUGUUCCAAAGACAAGAAAAACCCUGUUCAAAGUGAGCAUCAGAUAUUGGGCAGGCAUCAGAUUUUUGAGAGGUUGUGGGUAGUCUAACCAAGAAGAUCCAGCUGAGAAAUCGACUUAUUCUUCCCUGUAAUGCAAGGUAAAACAUUUACCAUAACAUACAACUUUCAACAUGAGCACGCCCCCAACGAGCAUGCAGGAGAUCGGUCACUGCAGCCUGGCAGGAGUGCUCAGCAGGCAGGCAUGCCUUCACACGCACAGAUACAGAAGGAGCCCUAUGGUUCAUACCACUGUAUGGACAGGGUAUAGCUUAAUCCACAGUGACAGCUGAUAUAGGUCAGAGAUCCAAGUUAGCACUUCAAGCCCCUGAGCAGCAAUAACCCAGCAGAAGGCUCUCCAGUACAUGUGCUGGAGCUCUGCUAUUUGAGUCUGGAGAUGCAGGCUCACCCACCAGUGUGCACUGCGGCGCUGGGUACAUCAGCCGGUCCUUCUGAAAGGGAGCUCAGUCCCAGUCACUGGAAAGGCCUUUCCCCACUCCUGUUGUCAUCCACAGACUGUUUCUUUUACCAUUAUAUAAAACAGAAGCGAUUACAGGAAAGCAAAGAAAUGCAGUUCCUUGGAAUAAAUGGUGCCAAAGGUAAUCCUGCACACACACCCUGGACAGACCCACCAGUACGCAGAGCAAGCAAUUUUAAGAUGUCAGGAAUCACUUCUUGUUGUUCAAGAUCUCUUCUUGUUGGAAAAGAAGCAAAAAACACAUGUUUUGGGGCUUUCAGAAAAAAUAAACCCACUAACUCGUCACUGACAGUCAUUUAACCUGCAGGCAAAAGCACCAAGACCUUGUAAUUACAAGUACCUGAAUUAUUCUGCAGGUAUUGAUCCUCCCCUGUGUGGAAGAAGAGCGAUGUGAUGACCCUACCGCUCCUUUUCACAGAACAGCUGGAGUUUGACAACAACAGGGAAUCAAUGCCUGGGCAUUACUUCAUCCAGGAAGGAAGGAGAACUACUCAGCCAUCACUCUGAGAAAUGAAAGUAACCUGAGAUCAAGCCAUCACUCUUCUGCUUUGAUGAAGCCAUCAUCUAAACUAAGUCCAGUCAAGGAGGAAAAUAAAGUGCUUUGAGGCAAAAUUUCAAAACUUGGGUCCAUGUUCACCAAAACCAGACAAUAACCAGGAAUUGCACAGGAAAAAAAACAUUCUUCAGAUAUUUCUACAAUAAGAUUCCAACGUCCAGUUGUAAACCUUACUCUAGCAACCUUUCUGUGCUCAGGGCUGAUGCUCAUAAGCAAUGAAGAUUCCCAUCCAGAAACAGAUGCUUGAAGCACUGAUGCUCUGAGCACCCUCAGGUCAGGGAUGUCUACACGCCAUGCAUUUCAGGGCAUGGCAAUGUUGCAGUGCACAGCCAGAUUGCCCUCUGGGGGCUAGCAGGGCAUCUGGAGCUGGCAACUCAAUUUUGCUCUGCCAGUGAUUUGCUGGAGGUCUUCAAGUAAGCCUUGAGCUUCUUCCUGGCAUAAUUUGGCUUCCCACCUGUGAAACUGUGCACCUGGUUACACUCUUAUUUCUACCUAUGACAAACACAGGACACCAAGCACAGAAGCAGUUAAGGGCUCUCCAUUUCUGGAUCUCACCAAUGAGCUAGAAGUUGUUCGAUUUCUCUGCACAGAACUCUGUGAGAGCUUCAGAAGAAGAAAUAACACACAGCAUCAUUAUCUUGAAAUUUUUCACAACUAUGCCUGUGUCUGAACUACCACAGAUGAAUCUGUGGUGCACCGUACAGUAGAGAGGUUUUGCUGUUUGUUUGUUUUUUUUUUCUUUUCCUCUGCUAAGAUAAGCACAUUGUACCAUGGCACUGUAACUCUCAAGACCAUAGCCUUUGUACUACUCACAGCCAUGCUGAGGGGGCAAAGGUAUCUACAACCAUAUGGCUGGGCAUUACCGUGUCUGCCAUCUGCUCCUCCUGCACCUGCAGGGAAGUCAACCAGAGGCAUCCAUCUGUCACUCCACUCAAGGUUCCUCCUUGGGCAGGGCACCAUGCUUUGGCUGCAAAAUUGGUAUACUUUAGGGGAUCGUUUUCUUAUGAAGCAUCCUGCCCCUGCCAAAUGUUCACUAUUGGUGUCUCUGUCUCACGUGACAUCAACCAGCUUGGAGAACUGUUUAGUACUGAACAUUACUGCAAACUGACAAAUUUAAAGGACAGCGCAACAAGGAAGCAGUUGACAAGAAAAGAAAGCAAGAAAGCAAGCAGAGAAAAAAUAAAGUAGAGUGAUUUCAGUUGGUCGUUUAUACGAGUAGAUGCAUGUGAAAGAGGACUUGCACAGUCUUUCCAUACAUGCUUCUCUGCAACUACACUAACGUGGAACACAGGAGGAACAUCCUUAAGAUGAUGUUUUAAUGGACAUCUUCUAACUUGAAAUUUCGCAAAUAAACACUCUACGCAAAAUCAGUGUGUUUGCAAUACAGUAUGAGUCUUAUACUAAUUGCAGUAAAGCUGUGCCAAAAAGAUGAGCUUUAUCUGAGCAAGCCCUAACUUGAAUUAAAAUCUGCUUUGUCUUUACUGUUGUCUGAAUCAAAGCAACAAAUCCAGGGUUUUUUUUUUGCACUGCAGAUAUGUCACAAGUUUAUAAUUGCGACAGAAGAAUAAAACAAUAAGUACCUGGAAAUUGUGGCUUACUGAAUAUACUGUAUACAUUGAACAUGAUAAAAAAUAAAGGGAUUGAAACAUGAACCCUUACAUGAACCUCAACAGAAGGACACAAGAAAGGCAGUAACAGCUCACAUAACUAAUUAGUCCACAUCUGUCAUAAUUGUAUCAUUUCUAUACUAACAUAAUACAGCAGUAUGAAUUUGGAUUUACUCUACUAGAAAUAUAGGUAGAAUUUAAUCCUUAUACCCUCUGAAAGCAUUUAUAAAAAACUAUUAUAUUUGUUCCUUACAGCAAUGAAACAAUUUGUGUAGGAAAACAAAGACCAACCCCCCAUUGUGACUAAUGAAAGACUUUGGGACAUGUGACCAAGGGGUUGUUACGUGGGUAUAAAAGGUUGUAAGCACGUACAAUAAAGGGUCUUCGUCCUGCUCUAGCAACGGAGUCCAUGUCUAUGUUACCACAAAUUUGAUAUCCAGCUGCUCAUGCACCGGAAAGUAAAAGUUCAGAAGGAAACUCUAAGUAUUACACAGAGCACCAGAGACCCCAUGGUUUCCUCUGGGUGAGGACUUUCUUCUUUUUUACAGACUAAAUGCACCAUGUUUUCACGUUCUUGCAUCCUCUAUUCACUUGUGUGAAAUAAUUCCUAAAUAGCACAAAAAAGUAAUCACUUCCUAUGCUUUCACAUUCCCAUUACACAUAAUGUUACUUUACCAGUUGACUCGCAAUUACUGAGCUGCUUCUUACCAAAGUGUGUUAAUGAUUUCUAUUUCAGUUGUAAUGAUAAUUUUCAGAGAAGAGAAGCUCAGAACCGUUUUUUUUUCCUUCCUUGAAUAUUCCGGAUUUUCUCUUGAGCUGGAGCUUCCAUUCAUUCUUUCAGGCUAAGCAUUAAAUUCAGUGAACGCAAGCGUAGACACUAUCAUAGAGAAAAGGGAAGCACCUUCGGUAGCCACAAUUCUACCUAAAUUUUGCAGCAUUCCCUUUACAGUCUGAUUAAUUCUUGC